rnacentral:rRNA from 1 species
AGAGUUUGAUCAUGGCUCAGGAUGAACGCUGACAGAAUGCUUAACACAUGCAAGUCGAUGGGGAAGUGGUGCUUGCACCAUGGCAACCAUGGCGGACGGGUGAGUAACGCGUAAGGGACUUACCUGCAGGACUGGGAUAACAGGGGGAAACUCCUGACAAGACCGGAUAAUGUCAUGGAGCUGCAUGGCUUUAUGAUGAAAGGAGACGCCUGCGGAGAGCCUUGCGUCCUAUUAGCUAGUUGGUGAGGUAAGGGCUCACCAAGGCGAAGAUAGGUAGCCGGCCUGAGAGGGUGGACGGCCACAAGGGGACUGAGAUACGGCCCUUACUCCUACGGGAGGCAGCA